CCGAGUUCCAUAUGAUCACCGAAGUUGAGCAACAUCGAGUCUGGUCAGUACCUAGAUGGGUGACCGUUUGGGAAUACCAGGUGCUAUC